rnacentral:rRNA from 1 species
CUGCUCAGUAAACACGUGGACAACCUGCCCUUAGGUCGGGUAUAAACCCGGGAAACUGGGUAUAAUCCCCGAUAGGUCUCGGCUGCUGGAAUGCAUCGAGAUUUAAAGCUCCGGCGCCUAAGGAUGGGUCUGCGGCCUAUCAGGUAGUAGUGGGUGUAGCGUACCUACUAGCCUACGACGGGUACGGGUUGUGAGAGCAAGAGCCCGGAGAUGGAUUCUGAGACACGAAUCCAGGCCCUACGGGGUGCAGCAGGCGCGAAAACUUUACAAUGCUGGCAACAGCGAUAAGGGAACCUCGAGUGCCAGGUUACAAAUCUGGCUGUCGAGAUGCCUAAAAAGCAUUUCAUAGCAAGGGCCGGGCAAGACCGGUGCCAGCCGCCGCGGUAACACCGGCGGCUCGAGUGGUAACCGUUAUUAUUGGGUCUAAAGGGUCUGUAGCCGGCCGGAUAAGUCUCUUGAGAAAUCUGGCAGCUUAACUGUCAGGCUUUCAGGAGAUACUGUCUGGCUCGAGGCCGGGAGAGGUGAGAGGUACUUCAGGGGUAGGGGUGAAAUCUUGUAAUCCUUGAAGGACCACCAGUGGCGAAGGCGUCUCACCAGAACGGACCUGACGGCAAGGGACGAAAGCUAGGGGCACGAACCGGAUUAGAUACCCGGGUAGUCCUAGCCGUAAACGAUACUCGCUAGGUGUCGGCCACGGUGCGACCGUUGUCGGUGCCGUAGGGAAGCCGUGAAGCGAGCCACCUGGGAAGUACGGCCGCAAGGCUGAAACUUAAAGGAAUUGGCGGGGGAGCACCACAACGGGUGGAGCUUGCGGUUUAAUUGGAUUCAACGCCGGAAAUCUUACCGGGACCGACAGCAAUAUGAAGGCCAGGCUGAAGACUUUGCCGGAUUAGCU